GAAAAGCCUCGUUCAGAGGCGUGAUGUAGUUAAAUACAUCCAGUUAGCAACAUGCUAAUACGACCUGUCCAUCCGAACUACAUUUUAAAAUAUUUUUGGAAUAUAAUACGCCGUUUGAGCACCAUUUGGGGCAUUAUUUGGCGUUUUAGAUACUUUAGAUACACUGAAAUCUGGAGUUUCACCUGAACGCGACUCACCUUCAGCAUGGUGGAGGAGGAGGCGUGUGAGUGAGUGAGUGAGUGAGUUUGGCAGUGUUUUUCAGCGUUUAAAGGCUUUUAUUGACGGUAUGUAGACUAUUGUUUAGGUAGCCUAGCAAUGUAUGGCUGAAAGAUUUUCCUGGUGCACCACAAAUCUCCCUGCUUAAAAUCUAGCCUAGGUUUCAGGUGGUUUAAGCUGGUCUUUGGUGGUCAAGAUCUUGGUUAUGAACCUGAAGAAUGAAAAAAAGGCACAUGGUGAAAGUGCAGUGGGAGCUAGUAGCAUAUCUUGGCUGAAGUUCAAAGAAAUGGCCUUUGAUCAAAGCCCAUUGUAAAUGCACACCCACGUCGUGGAUCUGAAAUCAGCUCCUCCAGUGAGACCCACCCCUCCUUUCCAAUUAGUGCAACCCCCACAGAGCACCUCAGAGGAAAGACAGAACCUCCGUUAAAUGGCCUGAACCUGCUAACCCAUGAUGAUAACCCAUCACAAAGCCCUGAGCCCCUCCUGUAUACCCAUGUGUUGGAGUCUCCUCUGAGGAGGGCAGGCUCCUCCUUCUCUCUCUUACCCACACUUAUGCUCAUGUGUCUCGCCCUGGAGAUGGAAUCGCAUCGCAGCAUCACUCUGCAUGGAACCCCCUGCCUGCCCCCGCUGAGGGAUAGAGGCACUCCACUGCCAUUUGCUAUAGUGAGCAGUAAAGUAAACGAUGGGCGGAGGAGCCAGACGAUGACCCACUGCCCUCUGCAGCCCACUCACAAUCCCAGCUGGGAGCAGACCCUCUGA
rnacentral:lncRNA from 1 species